rnacentral:rRNA from 1 species
GAUGAACGCUGGCGGCGUGCUUAACACAUGCAAGUCGAACGAACCUUCGGGUUAGUGGCGGACGGGUGAGUAACGCGUGAGAAUCUGCCCUCAGGAGGGGGAUAACGGUUGGAAACGACCGCUAAUACCCCAUAUGCCGAGAGGUGAAAUGAAUUUCGCCUGAGGAUGAGCUCGCGUCUGAUUAGCUAGUUGGUGUGGUAAUGGCUCACCAAGGCUUCGAUCAGUAGCUGGUCUGAGAGGAUGAUCAGCCACACUGGGACUGAGACACGGCCCAGACUCCUACGGGAGGCAGCAGUGGGGAAUUUUCCGCAAUGGGCGAAAGCCUGACGGAGCAACGCCGCGUGAGGGAUGAAGGCCUCUGGGCUGUAAACCUCUUUUAUCAAGGAAGAAGAUCUGACGGUACUUGAUGAAUAAGCCACGGCUAAUUCCGUGCCAGCAGCCGCGGUAAUACGGGAGUGGCAAGCGUUAUCCGGAAUUAUUGGGCGUAAAGCGUCCGCAGGCGGUCUUGUAAGUCUGUCGUUAAAGCGUGGAGCUUAACUCCAUUUCGGCGGUGGAAACUACAAGACUAGAGUGUGGUAGGGGCAGAGGGAAUUCCCGGUGUAGCGGUGAAAUGCGUAGAUAUCGGGAAGAACACCAGUGGCGAAGGCGCUCUGCUGGGCCAUAACUGACGCUCAUGGACGAAAGCCAGGGGAGCGAAAGGGAUUAGAUACCCCUGUAGUCCUGGCCGUAAACGAUGAACACUAGGUGUCGGGGGAAUCGACCCCCUCGGUGUCGUAGCCAACGCGUUAAGUGUUCCGCCUGGGGAGUACGCACGCAAGUGUGAAACUCAAAGGAAUUGACGGGGGCCCGCACAAGCGGUGGAGUAUGUGGUUUAAUUCGAUGCAACGCGAAGAACCUUACCAGGGUUUGACAUCCUGCGAAUCCCUUGGAAACGAGGGAGUGCCUUCGGGAGCGCAGUGACAGGUGGUGCAUGGCUGUCGUCAGCUCGUGUCGUGAGAUGUUGGGUUAAGUCCCGCAACGAGCGCAACCCACGUUUUUAGUUGCCAGCAUUUAGUUGGGCACUCUAGAAAGACUGCCGGUGAUAAACCGGAGGAAGGUGUGGAUGACGUCAAGUCAUCAUGCCCCUUACAUCCUGGGCUACACACGUACUACAAUGCUACGGACAAAGGGCAGCAAACUCGCGAGAGCUAGCAAAUCCCAUAAACCGUGGCUCAGUUCAGAUCGUAGGCUGCAACUCGCCUACGUGAAGGCGGAAUCGCUAGUAAUCGCAGGUCAGCAUACUGCGGUGAAUACGUUCCCGGGCCUUGUACACACCGCCCGUCACACCAUGGAAGUUGGCCACGCCCGAAGUCGUUACUCCAACCCUUGUGGAGGAGGACGCCGAAGGUGGGGCUGAUGACUGGGGUG